GAUGAACGCUGGCGGCGUGCUUAACACAUGCAAGUCGAACGAUGAAGCCCAGCUUGCUGGGUGGAUUAGUGGCGAACGGGUGAGUAACACGUGAGUAACCUGCCCUUAACUCUGGGAUAAGCCUGGGAAACUGGGUCUAAUACCGGAUAGGAGCGUCCACCGCAUGGUGGGUGUUGGAAAGAUUUAUCGGUUUUGGAUGGACUCGCGGCCUAUCAGCUUGUUGGUGAGGUAAUGGCUCACCAAGGCGACGACGGGUAGCCGGCCUGAGAGGGUGACCGGCCACACUGGGACUGAGACACGGCCCAGACUCCUACGGGAGGCAGCAGUGGGGAAUAUUGCACAAUGGGCGCAAGCCUGAUGCAGCGACGCCGCGUGAGGGAUGACGGCCUUCGGGUUGUAAACCUCUUUCAGUAGGGAAGAAGCGAAAGUGACGGUACCUGAAGAAGAAGCACCGGCUAACUACGCG
rnacentral:rRNA from 1 species